rnacentral:lncRNA from 1 species
GAUCAUUUCGAGUCUAGGGUUGUGGAAUGCAUAUUAGUGAUGUGGUGUGUAUUGUUGAACCCAAAUUUUGGCCUGGGCCCGCAUAAACAAAAAAUAUAAAACCAAAUAAAUUAAAACCAAAAUAAAUAAAGUCCAAUUAAUGUCCAAAUUACAAAAACCUAAUACCAGGCCCAAACUAUUAACCCAUUAGCCUAAUACCCAAACAGCCCAACUAAACGCAACUAAACCUUAGCCCAAAAAAAAUAAAAGAAAAAAGAAACCCUAAGCAGAAAAAAAUAGCAGCCGCCGCCCCCAGCACAACAUCCAGCCGCCGCACGACUCGGAGCUAGCCCUCC